UGAAAAUGAGCUGAUAUUUUUCAUUAACUCAUGAACAAGGCAUUAAGCCAUUACAUAUAUCAGUCAAUAAGUAAAACAAACAAGUAAUCACCUACUAACAUACCUAACACCACUAAAAUGCCUAGUAACUUGGUAAACUUGAUUGAAAAACAAAAAAGCUUCUACCUAAGCUUGUCAUUCAGCACCUAAUUACAUCAAAAUGCAGCUACCAACUAAGUUUGAUCCUAACUAAAUACAAAACAUUCAAUUAAGGAAACCAAAUGAAUAGCUUCAGCUUGCUGCAUCAAUUUGCUGCUGAAGCACGUUCCUUGCAUGGCCACCCUUGCUGCUAUAUGGGAGCUGACUUCAACACUCCUCCUCAGCUUCUAUGCAGCAGACUCCUAGCUUCCUCUUCAGGCUUAGAUAUCUUGAUACACCAAGAGGCUUUGUGAAGAUAUCGGCAAUCUGAUUUUCAGAACUGCAAUGGAUUAGCUCAAUUUCUCGAGCUUGUUCCAUUUCUCUUAUCACAUGGAGUUUGAUGUUGAAAUGUUUUGUCCUGCCAUGAAAGACAGGAUUUUUAGCAAUAGCAACUGCUGACUUGUUGUCACAAUGUAUCACAGUUGCUUCAUUCUGCUGUAGAUUCAAGUCACUCAAAAUUUUUCUCAGCCACAUGGCUUGAUUAACAGCAUUGGCAGCUGCUACAUACUCUGCUUCUGCUGUCGAUUGAGCCACCAUUGUUUGUUUUCUUGAGCUCCAACAAAUCAUAGCUGAGCCAAGUGUAAAAGCAUAGCCAGAAGUGCUCUUCAUGUCAUCCUUUGAACCAGCCCAAUCGCUAUCAGUGUAGCCAAUCAGUUUCAACUCUUCAGCCUUUCUAAACUGUAUUCCAUGGUUUAAGGUACCUUUAAUGUAUCUUAGCACCCUUUUCCCAGCCUUGUAAUGUUGCUGGUUACAGCAGUGCAUGAAUCUUGAUAGCAUGCUUACAGCAAACAAAAUGUCGGGUCUUGUUGCUGUCAAAUACAAUAAACACCCAACAAGGCUUCUGUAAUCUGUUUCACAGACAGAUUCAUGUUCCUCCUGGCUCGAUAGCUUUAUGCCAAUAGCCAUUGGUGUGCUCACUGGUUUACAAUUCUCCAUUGAGAAUUUAGCCAGCACUUUCAAGGCAAAUGUCUUUUGUUUCAAGAAGAUUCCUCCUUCUAUUUGAUUGACUUCCAUUCCUAGGAAAUAUGUCAUCAAUCCCAGGUCUGACAUCUCAAACAUUUUCUUCAUUCUUGCUUUGAAAUCAACCAUCAUAAGCUUGUCUCCUCCAGUCACGAGAAGAUCAUCAACAUAUAGUGACACAAUAAGCUGUGUUUCAGCUCCAUUCUUCUUAACAUAGAGUGUUGGCUCACUAGCACUCCUUUCAAAUCCCAAACUGACCAAAUAUGAGUCAAUUCGAGCAUACCAGGCUCGAGGGGCCUGUUUUAGGCCAUACAAGGCCUUUCUUAGCCUAUACACCAAUUGUUCCUUACCAGGCACUAUAAAACCUGGGGGUUGCUCGAUGUAUAUCUCUUCUUCAAGAAAUCCAUUGAGGAAUGCAGACUUGACAUCCAUUUGGUGAAUUGUCCACUGGUUCUGAGCAGCAACUGCAAUCAGCAAUCUGAUUGUAUCGAGUCUGGCUACUGGAGCAAAUGUUUCCAUGUAGUCCAGACCAUACCUUUGACUGAAGCCCUUUACAACUAGCCUGGCCUUUAGCUUGUUUAAGCUUCCAUCUGCAUUGUGCUUCACUCGAUAGACCCAUUUUACACCGAUAGUCUUUCUGUUGGCAGGCUUUUCAACCAACUCCCAUGUCUGAUUCUUUACAAUCAUGUUGAUUUCAUCAACCAUAGCUUGUUUCCAACCUUCAUCUGCCUCAGCCUCUUCAAAACUGCUAGGUUCUGCUAAUGCAACCUGUGCCCUUUCAUAAAUAUCUUCUAGGGGCCUUGUGCCUCUCACAGGCACAUCAUCAACAUCCAUUUCAGGUUCUAGCUGCUCAAGUUCAGCUUGAUUAGGCACUAGGUCUUCUGAAAUUGCUUCUGGCUCAUUUUUCUCCCAAUUCCAGCAGGCUUUUUCAUCAAAGAUGACAUCUCUGCUCACUUGGACUUUGUUUGUCAAGGGAUCCAGAACCCUGUAGCCCUUUUUGACUGAGCUGUAGCCUACUAGAACACCUGGUUGAGCCCUUUUAGAGAGCUUGUCUCUCUUUGCUGCUGGUAUUUGUGCAUAACACAGGCAACCAAACACCUUCAGGUGUGCCAAGGAAGGCUUGAAACCAAACCAAGCCUCGAAAGGUGUCUCGGAUGCAAGAGCUUUAGUGGGAAGCCUGUUCUGAAGGUAAACAGCAGUGUUUACUGCCUCAGCCCACAUGGUCUUGGGCAGUUUCUUCUCAAACAGCAGACAUCUGGCCAUAUCCAUCAGACUUCUAUUCUUUCUUUCAGCUACCCCAUUCUGCUGAGGUGUGUAGACAUUUGUAAGCUGAUGUUUGAUACCAGCAUCAUUGCAAAUGGCUUGAAACUGAGCUGAAGUGUACUCAGUGCCAUUGUCUGUCCUUAUCGAUUUCAGCUUGCAACCUGUUUCUGUUUCUACAGCAUUUUUAAACUUCACAAACACUUGAGCUACCUCAGACUUGUGUUUUAAAAAGAAAAUCCAGCAAAACCUUGUAAGAUCAUCAAUAAAGAGGAUGAAAUACCUGUUUUUGCUGAGUGAUUCAGUCCUCAUCGGGCCACAUACAUCAGAGUGCACCAGCUGUAGUCUUUCAGUAGCUCUCCAAGCUGAAUUUGUAGGAAAUGGCAGUCUUGCCUGUUUCCCCAUUUGGCAGACUUCACACACAUCAUCAUGCUCCACUGAGCUGGUGAAGUUCUCUGCCAUGCCCUCUUUGGCCAAUCGAGCCAUUGAUCUGAAGUUGGCAUGUCCAAGCCUUUGAUGCCAAAGCUUGGAGUCUUCAACAGAGGCUGUGUAUGCUGAGUUUGAGUCAUUUGCCCAGUGAACCUCAAAGCAUUUAUCAGUCAUUGUGACUGUCAUAAGGCUUGAUCCACUUGGAUCAGUAAUAUGGCAUUGUUUAUCCUUGAACACAACAGAAUAACCUUUCUCGAGCAGUUGAGCUAUGCUGAGAAGGUUUCUGUCAAUCUGUGGUACCAACAGCACAUUUGGAAUGAUCUUGUUGCCUGUGGGAGUAGAUAUCAGCACUUCUCCUCUUCCUUCAGCCCUUAUAAACUGACCAUUUCCAACCUUGACCUUGGUUUUAUAACUUCUGUCCAAGGUUUUAAACAAGGAGGCAUCUGGUGACAUGUGGUUAGUGCAACCACUGUCCAGCAGCCAGCCUUUAGAGCAUUUCUUCUCAGAAGCUACACAGGAAACAGCAAAGACCUGUUCUUCUUGGUCACUACUGUCCUCAGCUACUCGAGCUUCAACCUUUGACUGCUGAAAUUGAUUCUGCCUUGGCUUACUUCUGUUUUUGCAGACCCUUUCAACAUGGCCCUUCUUCUUGCAGUGUUGGCAUACUGCAUCUGGCCUAAACCAGUAUCUGUCUUCUGGAUGGCCAGGCUUCUUGCAAUAUCUGCAGGGCUGGUCAUUGCUCCUUGCAGCAUCAGGCUUAGGCCUGUUUUUCCAAGGCCUUUUGCCUCUUUGAGCAUUAGUGCUCGAGGUUUCUCUGGCCUUGGCUUGAAAUGCACCUUCUUGGUGAUCUUCAGCUCUGCUAGCUCUUCUUUGUUCCUGAGCAUAAAAGGUGUUGAUUAGCUCAGUCAAAGAGAUGCUAGCAAGAUCUCUUGAGUCCUCUAGAGAGGAUAUCUUGGCCUCAUAUCUCUCAGGCAAAGUGGAGAGGACUUUCUCCACAAUUCUUGCCUCAUCAAAGUGCUCACCUAGGAGCCUUAUGCUGUUAACCACUGCCAUAAUUCUAUCUGAGUACUGCUUCACUGUUUCUUCUUCCUUCAUCUUCAAAUUCUCGAAAUCCCUUCUCAAGUUUAGCAGCUGCUGUUGCCUUGUUCUCUCAGUGCCUUGAAACUCCUCCUUAAGCUUAUCCCAGGCCUGUUUUGGAGUCUCACAGGCCAUGAUUCUGGUGAAGAUGACAUCUGACACACAGUUCUGGAUGCAGGACAUGGCUUUGUGCCUUUUGGUCCUCUCAUCAGCAUGUUGCCUAAUCUGAGCUACUGUGGGAUUAGCCCUCAGUGGUGCUGGCUCAGUAUCUGUGUUGACAACUUCCCACAGAUCAAAAGCCUGUAGGUAAGUCUUCAUCUUGACCAGCCAUAUGUGAAAGCCUUCUCCAUUGAAGACUGGUGGGGCUGCUGGUGAAAAUCCUGAAGAAGCCAUCAAGUUCUUUGUUUUGAAGCAACAGGUCCACUAAGACAAGAGCUCUCGAUACCAAUUGUUGGUACAAGAGGCAGCAGCAAGCUGUUUCUAGUCUUGCUUGAGUAGUAAGGCUCGAGGCUUGGUGAAGAAGCAAACUCGGAAGCAGAAAAAACAGAAAGAUGAAGCUAGCAAGUGAAAACAGAAAAGAGAGAAAGAGAUUGAAUGAAAAUGAGCUGAUAUUUUUCAUUAACUCAUGAACAAGGCAUUAAGCCAUUACAUAUAUCAGUCAAUAAGUAAAACAAACAAGUAAUCACCUACUAACAUACCUAACACCACUAAAAUGCCUAGUAACUUGGUAAACUUGAUUGAAAAACAAAAAAGCUUCUACCUAAGCUUGUCAUUCAGCACCUAAUUACAUCAAAAUGCAGCUACCAACUAAGUUUGAUCCUAACUAAAUACAAAACAUUCAAUUAAGGAAACCAAAUGAAUAGCUUCAGCUUGCUGCAUCAAUUUGCUGCUGAAGCACGUUCCUUG
rnacentral:lncRNA from 1 species